GAUGAACGCUGACAGAAUGCUUAACACAUGCAAGUCUUUGGCGAAGCUGUGCUUGCACAGCCUAGCCAAGGCGGACGGGUGGGUAACGCGUAAGGAACUUGCCCUGCAGUCAGGGAUAACAGACGGAAACGACUGAUAAGACCUGGUAAAGUCAGGCGGACUCAUGUCCAGCCUGAUGAAAAGAGAUGCUGCAGGAGAGCCUUGCGUCCUAUUAGCUUGUUGGUGGGGUAACGGCCCACCAAGGCGAUGAUAGGUAGCCGGCCUGAGAGGGUGGACGGCCACAAGGGGACUGAGAUACGGCCCUUACUCCUACGGGAGGCAGCAGUGGGGAAUAUUGGACAAUGGGGGCAACCCUGAUCCAGCAAUUCUGUGUGCACGAUGAAGGUUUUCGGAUUGUAAAGUGCUUUCAGCAGGGAAGAAAAAAAUGACGGUACCUGCAGAAGAAGCGACGGCUAAAUACGUG
rnacentral:rRNA from 1 species